UACGGAGGGUGCAAGCGUUGUCCGGAAUCACUGGGCGUAAAGGGCGCGUAGGCGGCUCGGUAAGUCGGGGGUGAAAUCCUGCGGCUUAACCGCAGGGCUGCCUUCUAAACUGUCGAGCUUGAGCACGGUAGAGGCAGAUGGAAUUCCCGGUGUAGCGGUGGAAUGCGUAGAGAUCGGGAAGAACAUCAGUGGCGAAGGCGGUCUGCUGGGCCGUUGCUGACGCUGAGGCGCGACAGCGUGGGGAGCAAACAGG
rnacentral:rRNA from 1 species